rnacentral:misc_RNA from 1 species
UCUAAGAUUACUUCCCCGCCCGAAACCUUAAACUCUGAUGGGACACUUUCAACAUUAAGAACUUUAAUCUUGCCAUCAACUACAUAGGCUGACCACCUUUCAGAGCGAUGCCCAAGCAAAGCAGCAGAGAGAUCCUUACUCAACUCCAAGCUCUUGUGAAAACUCCCAUCAAAGUCGCCAUAAAAUUCGAUUGCUUCUUUGGCUUCAAGCUUUUCUGCCCAUCCAUUCAUAACAUAUGGAUCAUUGACAGCGACACAAAUGACAGAAUCAACUCCUUUAGCUUUAAAUUUAUCAAUGUUCUUCUUGUAGCUAGGAACAUGUUGUGCUGAACAUACACCAGUGAAAGCUCCAGGUAACCCGAAGAUGACGACCUUCUUGCCCUG